rnacentral:rRNA from 1 species
AUUGAACGCUGGCGGCAGGCCUAACACAUGCAAGUCGAGCGGAUGAAGGGAGCUUGCUCCUGGAUUCAGCGGCGGACGGGUGAGUAAUGCCUAGGAAUCUGCCUGGUAGUGGGGGAUAACGUCCGGAAACGGGCGCUAAUACCGCAUACGUCCUGAGGGAGAAAGUGGGGGAUCUUCGGACCUCACGCUAUCAGAUGAGCCUAGGUCGGAUUAGCUAGUUGGGGGGGUAAAGGCCUACCAAGGCGACGAUCCGUAACUGGUCUGAGAGGAUGAUCAGUCACACUGGAACUGGAAAACGGUCCAGACUCCUACGGGAGGCAGCAGUGGGGAAUAUUGGACAAUGGGCGAAAGCCUGAUCCAGCCAUGCCGCGUGGGUGAAGAAGGUCUUCGGAUGGUAAAGCACUUUAAGUUGGGAGGAAGGGCAGUAAGUUAAUACCUUGAUGUUUUGACGUUACCAACAGAAUAAGCACCGGCUAACUUCGUG